UACUUUCUGUAACUUUCAUUAUCGUAUGAAAGAAUCUAAUUUCAUGUAAAAAGGGUAGGUGUAAUAAGCUCAGGCUUCAGCCUACACCUUUCACUUUAUUUUGUUUAUAUUAUCCGUGUAUUGACUGUUGUGAGUUACAGAUGUCCAGAAAAAACAAUUAAACUAAACUAAAC